CGGGGCGUAGCUCAGCCUGGUAGAGCGCCUGCUUUGGGAGCAGGAGGUCGUUGGUUCGAAUCCAGUCGCCCCGACCA
rnacentral:tRNA from 1 species